rnacentral:rRNA from 1 species
CCUACGGGUGACAGCAGUGAGGAAUAUUGGUCAAUGGGCGCGAGCCUGAACCAGCCAAGUCGCGUGAGGGAAGACGGUCCUAUGGAUUGUAAACCUCUUUUGUCGGGGAGCAAAAGACGCCACGCGUGGCGUUCCGAGAGUACCCGAAGAAAAAGCAUCGGCUAACUCCGUGCCAGCAGCCGCGGUAAUACGGAGGAUGCGAGCGUUAUCCGGAUUUAUUGGGUGUAAAGGGAGCGUAGGCCGCAUGUCAAGCUGGCUGUGAAAGGUCCGGGCUCAACCCGGGCCUUGCAGAGCGAACGGGCGUGAGUGAGUGCGCGGAAAGCAGGCGGAAUUCGUCGUGUAGCGGUGAAAUACGGAGAUAUGACGAAGAACCCCGAUUGCGAAGGCAGCUUGCUGCAGCGGAACUGACGCUGAUGCUCGAAAGCGCGGGUAUCGAACAGGAUUAGAUACCCGAGUAGUC